GAGUAACACGUGGGUAACCUGCCCAUAAGACUGGGAUAACUCCGGGAAACCGGGGCUAAUACCGGAUAACAUUUUGAACUGCAUGGUUCGAAAUUGAAAGGCGGCUUCGGCUGUCACUUAUGGAUGGACCCGCGUCGCAUUAGCUAGUUGGUGAGGUAACGGCUCACCAAGGCAACGAUGCGUAGCCGACCUGAGAGGGUGAUCGGCCACACUGGGACUGAGACACGGCCCAGACUCCUACGGGAGGCAGCAGUAGGGAAUCUUCCGCAAUGGACGAAAGUCUGACGGAGCAACGCCGCGUGAGUGAUGAAGGCUUUCGGGUCGUAAAACUCUGUUGUUAGGGAAGAACAAGUGCUAGUUGAAUAAGCUGGCACCUUGACGGUACCUAACCAGAAAGCCACGGCUAACUACGUGCCAGCAGCCGCGGUAAUACGUAGGUGGCAAGCGUUAUCCGGAAUUAUUGGGCGUAAAGCGCGCGCAGGUGGUUUCUUAAGUCUGAUGUG
rnacentral:rRNA from 1 species